rnacentral:rRNA from 1 species
AGUGAACGCUGGCGGCGUGCUUAACACAUGCAAGUCGAACGGUAACAGGCCGCAAGGUGCUGACGAGUGGCGAACGGGUGAGUAAUGCAUCGGAACGUGCCCAGUCGUGGGGGAUAACGCAGCGAAAGCUGUGCUAAUACCGCAUACGAUCUGUGGAUGAAAGCGGGGGACCGUAAGGCCUCGCGCGAUUGGAGCGGCCGAUGUCAGAUUAGGUAGUUGGUGGGGUAAAGGCUCACCAAGCCGACGAUCUGUAGCUGGUCUGAGAGGACGACCAGCCACACUGGGACUGAGACACGGCCCAGACUCCUACGGGAGGCAGCAGUGGGGAAUUUUGGACAAUGGGCGCAAGCCUGAUCCAGCAAUGCCGCGUGCAGGAAGAAGGCCUUCGGGUUGUAAACUGCUUUUGUACGGAGCGAAAAGGCUCCCUCUAAUACAGGGGGCUCAUGACGGUACCGUAAGAAUAAGCACCGGCUAACUACGUGCCAGCCGCCGCAGUAA